ACAUACUGAGAUACAUUCGUCAACAACUGCACGUACUGCACGCAGCAUUGACAGGUAAAACGGUUGGUAGACUUAGAUUUUAUACCAAGUUUGUUUUAUUGUUAUAGGAGUUUUAUGCGCUGUAUACCAAUCAGAGAACAUCAGCUUGGCAUCGAUACUAGGUUAUUGUCAUAAAUUCGCGGUUGUAUAUACCCAGUUUUAAGUGUGUCUUAACUGGGUCAUUUAUGAGCAGAGAAUUCCUGAGUAUAGAGAAUGAGUGGUACCCGAGUCUGUAUAGGUGUUUGUAUAAUGAUGUGUCUGUAAAAGUGAUUUCUAUUUGAAACGCAAGAGAGCAGAUUCAGGCUAAACUCAAGGAGGAGUUCUGUUUAUCGCAUGUUUUGACAGACAAAUUUAGGUAACGCCAAAUGUAGUAGCCGUUGUUGCUAUUUGAAACUAGGACUGUUUCCGAUAUAUAUGUAACUGGAUGCCAUUGAUGACAAAGUGGUUUCUUCCAACCAAAUUGAAUCAAUUCUACAGACAUAACGCCAUUAGCUGCUGUUUAAAAUCCAACGAAGAAGACUUGCAAACACGUGACUGCAGAAAAACCGACACCACAGCAGAAAUGAUGAAUCUAAACAACCAGGCCGUCUGUUGUGUGGCGAUGUGUGUGGCGGUCGUCGUGGGAUUUUUGUUGAGUGGAUUCCUCAUCAGCAUCAGCUUAUAAAAACACGACAGAUUGUCAUUGACAACUAUGGUUAAUUGACAGCUGAGCACAACGGAUGCCAGGAGACCAGAACACCAACACAGUCAGCAACAUCAUCCCUACAACGAAGACAUU